GAAGGAGGGAAAAGAGCUAGAAGAAGGGGUCCUUGCAACCUUGGAGAACUUGAAAUAUUUAGAAGAAGAGAUAAGAGGAAAGAAAUUCUUUGGUGGGGAGACUAUUGGGCUAGCAGAUAUUGCAUUAGGAUGGCUUGCUUAUUACCUUGAUAUCUUUGAUGAGAUACUGGGUCUAAAACUGAUAGACCAGGAAAAGUUUCCAUCCUUAGCGGCAUGGAAGCAGGAAUUUGCAAAUGCUCCAAUCAUCCAUGAGAACUGGCCGGAUAGAGACAAGCUGUUUAACAAGUUUGUUGCCAUGCGUGAGGCCAAACUUGGAAAAGAAACACCUGAAUGAAUGGUUUCUGCAGUUUAAUUUGCAGACCUUUAAUGUUACUAGAACAUUUGAAUAAUUCAGAUAGAAGCAAAUCACCUUUGUUAGUGAUCCCUGCUGUUGUUACUUUCCUGUGGGUAGCUGCAGCUUCAUCUUGAAGCCUAUGAUCAGAAUCAUGCAUGUUAUUAUCUCUGCUAUGUUGUCCAACGAAGGAAAUAAAAAACUUUCUCUAAGUUAUUUUCAAAUGGCUUCAUCAGUGUCAAGAUCAGCUUCAAAUUCCACAUGAUGGACAGACAAUAGAGAGUUUCAAGAAAACAAUUAUGAAAGAAAUCUCUUAAUGCAGUAAACUUUGACUGUGAGCCAUUUUUGUGAUUCGAUCCGACAGUAUUUUGCAGAGGAAAUGGCACUGAAAAGAAUCUGAAAAACAGAUUGAAAUUUUCUCAACAAAAGAACAAAUUUUUCUCAUCUGAUUUAGUUUCAGGAACAUAUAAAAGGGAACUUUCUGUCAUUGCAUCUUCAACAUUCUGCAACUGUGAUUUCACCAGCAUUAAUUAACAAUUGGUGAAAGUUAGGAAUUGGUUGUGAUCAGACAAUGUGUCACAUGAUGGAUCAUGGAUCAACUCGUGUCAUCUGUGCUAUAUCGAUUUCCAUUGCGUCUCCUGUUUAGUCAAGAAUUCUGUAACCAUUUUCAAUUCUCAUACCAUUUUUCCCAAACUUGACUUUAUGCAGUAAGAAUUACUCGAAGUGGAAUUUGUUACUCUGAUGUGCGUUACACCUGGAGUAAACUUGAAAACUUAACGUAUCCUAGUACCUGGGAUGUGAUGAGCCCUUUUCUCUCUCUCUACCGGAAUGCAGGUCAUAGCUGCUGAAAUUUAGGUUUUUUAUUUUUGGUUUUUUGGCAGAACUGGAUUCUUACAGUUGCAAAAGAACUGUGAUGAUCAAUUUCCUGCACUUCUCUUUCACUUGACAUGGUUAUGUUUUGUUGUGCAUCCAUGGAUUGUUCGAUAAGAGAUUCAUCACUUCGAAAUUGGUGACCAUGAAGUUGAGUAGGAAAAUAUGUGGCCAUGCAGAGAUUAGGAAUUGCUUGUGAUCAGACAAUGUGUCACAUGAUGGAUCAUGGAUCAACUCGUGUCAUCUGUGCUAUAUCGAUUUCCAUUGCUUCUCCUGUUUAGUCAAAAAUUCUGUGACCAUUUUCAAUUCUCAUACCAUUUUCCCCAAACUUGACUUUAUGCAGUAGGAAUAACUCUACGUGGAAUUUGGAACAAAAUGGUUUGAAUUGCCUUCAUCUUUUCCCUAAGCUUUUAUUAUAUAGAAAAAGUUAUGUUGUACAUAAUAAUUACAAAGAAAAAAUCUAAAAAGCUAAAUAAAAUAAAUUUUUUAUUUUUUAUUCAAUCAUUUAUAUUUCUAUUUAAGCAUUUACCGCUGUAACAACUGUAUGCUUAACUUCAGCUUUUUUAUUGACAUUCCUCUAAAAUUGAUGCAGGCUUGUCCAUAAACAUCAAUUUGAUCAUAAGAAAAUGAUGACGUUGUUGUGUGAGAGUCUUGGUAAAAACAUCAACCACUUGAAAAUUAUUGGACACAUAUGGAAGUGAUAUAGUCUGAGUCACAAAUGCAUCAUGAAUGAAGUGGCAAUCCACCUCAAUAUGCUUCGUGCGCUCAUGAAAGAUAAGAUUGGCGGUAAGAUAAAUAGCACUGGCAUUAUCAGCAAAAAGAGAAGUGGGAUUGCACUGCUGAAAACCCAGCUCAAAAAGGAGCAUGUAAAGCCUGAUGAUUUCGGAACAAGCUUGGGAUAUAGCCUUGUAUUCAGAUUUAGUAGAAGACUUGGAAACACGAACUCGCCUUAAAAUCCAAUGGCCCAGAUUUGACAUGAAAGUCUCUAGCUUUGAUUAGAGAAGCAAGAAAAGAAGAAAAGGGUCUAAUCUCACCGGACAGAGACCCGUUUUUGAGAGGAAUUGGUGACGCUACGGUCGUUAGUUGGUGAUGUAGAAGGGUUACGGGGGCUAAAGCCCGAUUUGGGGCUAGUACUGAAGAAGAAGAUAUUCUUCUUAGAACUGUUGAUAACAUUUUUAGGGUUUUAAAAAUUUGAGUGAGAAACCCUAAAUCUGAUUCGGGGAUUUCUUAGGGUUUAAGAGGAACGAAGAGUGGCGGAGACUGGAGAGAAGGGUUUGCCAAGGUUUAACGAGGGAGUGAGGCGAUAGCGAAGAUAUUUAUGAUGGUUUGAUCAUGUGGUAUUCAGAGGGUUUAAGAAUUGGUGUAUCUUGAUAUAUAUUUUUGUCUUGGUUUUUAAAAUUUUAUUUUUAGCUGUUAUUAAUAAUUUUUUUUGUUGAUUUAUUAGCGCAUAUAAAUCUCUAAUUUUUUUUAAUUAAAUAUAUGUAUAAACUUUUUAAUUGGUUAUAUUUUUUUAACCAUCAAAAUGCAUUAAAAAAAUUUAUAUAAAUAAUUUUUUAUAAAAAAUAAAAAUACGUGACCCUCGGGUCACGUAACUAGUUCAAUUAAAGACGAAGACCAGCUUGUACUGGCUACGCAGCCAUAGGUCAUCGCUUACGUGUGAUACAUAGAAAUAAAUGUACACAAGGAGAGAUUUUGUCAAAGCAGUCCUUGACCUUUAAGUUUUUUGUGUCUGCCCCAAAAUGUUGCCUUCCAACCCUCCCAAAACUAGUAGGAAAAACAAGUAAAACAAAAGGUUGUCCGAAAAUAAUGGGUAGAGCCUAGGAACUGGCAAGAAAAGCAGGGAGAAAGUGAGAUUUUGCUGAAGUGUAGUGGCCACAUAGCAGAAGCAAGAGUCAGAGUGUUAUCUAUAAAGGCAUCGAGCUAUGAUCCAUGGAAUAAAGAAAACACAACAUGGCAGAAGAAUUAAAGGUGUUUAGGACAUGGUCAAGUCGAUUUGCUCUGAGAGUCAUCUGGGCACUGAAAUUGAAGGGUGUUGAGUUUGAUACCAUAUAUGAAGAUCUCUCCAACAAGAGCCCUUUACUCUUGCAAUACAAUCCUAUCCACAAGAAGGUUCCCGUGCUUGUCCACAAUGGUAAAGUCAUCUGUGAAUCACUUGUCAUUCUAGAGUACAUCGACGAGACAUGGAAGCAAAAUCCUCUGUUGCCUGAGGAUCCUCACCAGCAAGCCAAUGCUCGUUUCUGGGCCAAGUUUGGUGAUGAUAAGGUAAUUGUUUAGGUCCUCUGUCUCUUUCAGAAUAAUCAGUGAUUUUUAUGUGAUUGAAUUGCCUGAACUUGAUCAAACAUGAAUUGAUUUGAAGCGACAUUGCUUUACGCGUGGUUGCAGGUUUUGCAAUCAAUUGUGUGGGGUGUGCUUCUGAAGGAGGGAAAAGAGCUAGAAGAAGGGGUCCUUGCAUCGUUGGAGAACUUGAAAUACUUAGAAGAAGAGAUAAGAGGAAAGAAAUUCUUUGGCGGGGAGACUAUUGGGCUAGCAGAUAUUGCAUUAGGAUGGCUUGCUUAUUACCUUGAUAUCAUUGAGGAGAUACUAGGUUUAAAACUGAUAGACCAGGUAAAGUUUCCAUCCUUAGCGGCAUGGAAGCAGGAAUUUGCAAAUGCUCCAAUCAUCCAUGAGAACUGGCCGGAUAGAGGCAAGCUGUUUAACAAGUUUGUUGCCAUUCGUGAGGCCAAACUUGGAAAAGAAACACCUAAAUGAAUGGUUUCUGCAGUUUAAUUUGCAGACCUUUAAUGUCACUAGAACAUUUGAAUAAUUCAGAUAGAAGCAGCUUAUUUUGAACAUUUGAAUAGUUUCCUGUGUGUAGCUGCAGCUUCAUCUUGAAGCCUCUGAUCAGAAUCAUGCAUGUUAUUGUCUCUGCUAUGUUGUCCAAUGAAGGAAAUAAAAAGAUUUCUCUAAGUUAUUUUCAAAUGGCUUCAGCAGUGUCAAGAUCAGCUUCGAAUUCCACAUGAUGGACAGACAAUAGAGAGUUUCAAGAAAACAAUUAUGAAAGAAAUCUCUUAAUGUAGUAAACUUUGACAGUGAGCCAUUUUUUGUGAUUCGAUCCGACAGUAUGUUGCAGAGGAAAUGGCACUGAAAAGAAUCUGAAAAAGAGAUUGAAAUAUCUUCAACAAAAGAAUAAAAUUUUCUCAUCUGAUUUAGUUUCAGAAACAUAUACAGGGG
rnacentral:lncRNA from 1 species